GUCGUUCGAUCGCGCGCGUGUAGCUACGUCGUGAGGACGUCUUGUAAGACGCGCUUUGCGUUGUUUUUCGUAAUUAAGUUGUUGGACAGCGGUGUAAAAACUACCUCGAGUGGAUAUUCUUCCGUCGACACUGUUGUUCUUCCGUUGACACUGGUGUGGUUACCCAGUUUCGCGUGUGGUUUACGUGCACGAAGACUGCGUGCACCAGAGUUCUCAGCCGCUAGCAGUGACGGUGUGGUUAGCGCUCGCGGUCGCCGUAACAAUGUUCACAAACGUCGACUUCCGUGGCGUUGCGCGGGGACAGUGUUCCGUCAGUAAUUGCGAAUGCGACGGCUACGCUCGCUCACCGUCCUCCGAGGUGUGCACUUCGCAAAAUGCGACGCUCCAGUGCGGUUGGUGCUGCUACUGCGGCCACCCGCCAGUUUCUCACAGUCGUAUUGAUGACAUGGACUGUAGUCAGUUGGAGCCUGCUCAGAUGAGUUUGGAAGCUGCUCAGCCACUAUCAUCCCUCCCAUUCGUAAUCGAUGGGGCAGUGAGUCUCUUGGGACAGCCUGUGUCAGGUGAUACACCAGUGGUGGAAGUGGAGAACAUCAAAACAGAGCCAGGAAUGACGCCCAAAGAAAUCCUGCAACCACAACUAGUCCAGGUGGCAGCCUCGAAGAGACGUGCUCAGCCCAUGUUUGCAGCAGUACGCUUUUUAAAGGACAAGUCAGUUGCUGUGGUGCCAUUGGACUGGAUAGAAGGAAGCAAGUGCCUGUGGCCACACCAUCUGUCACCUCAGGACAUUGCCGAGGCUGCUCAAGAUGCCGAGAUUCCAGAUUCAUCUUUUAUUCGCCGCAACAUCCACAUCCUUAGACUUGAUUCUUCAUAUGACAAGGCGCGCACCUGGUUGGCUGAGCAGGACGCAGACAAGAUUGAAGCAUCCACCACUGACGAAGGUGUGAGCCGUAGCAAGUACCCCAGGAUGGCUUUAUCUGGUGGCAGAGGUGAAGAGAGCAGGUUGAAAGACUUGCCACAUAAGCAUUCAAGCUCUGGGAGAACUGCCCACACUGUCACGUCUACCCCAAGGAAAAAAGCCUGGAAUAUCCAACCCACAGUUAGGCUUCAGCGCCUGGCAAGCAGCAACAGGUGCAGCCAACAAACGGACACAGCGGUCGAAGGAAACCACACUGCAGACAAUUCCUGCGAAGAGGAUUCGCAGAGCCGCCGCAGCCCGUCCCUUUCGACCGUCUGCAAGUCGAGGCUUGUUACGUGCAGUGAGAGUGAAAGUGUUCCGUCACCAGAAAGGGUCGCCGACACCAGCGCCACCUUGAACAAGGACACGAGUCCAAGGUCGAAAGAGAAUGGUCACAGGCGUCGAAAAUCGAUAUGGCACUUCGAGGCCACGGAAAGGGUGGAGAUUGAGGAAGCAGAUGAAGCAGCGAAUGGCUCCAGCCUUGAGGAACAAGAUAUAAUGAGUAUUAUACUGAAAGAGCUCAAGACGAUCAGGCAGCAAAAUGAACAAAUCCUGACAGCCCUUGGUGUGACCAACCAAAAGGAAAGUAUGGCACUCGCCAAGAUGAAGCUGCCUGUAACCGACAUAGACAGCCUGGAUGCCUUGGAAUUAAAGUUGACAACGGAUACAGUCUUUCGGGCUUGCCUUACGCACCGACUUUCACUUGUUGGAGGCCCCAGUUUGAGGGCUUUCGUAGCGGGUGUCCUUCGCUUCCUGUUCAGUGAUGCCGUGGGGCAGCAGUUCAGUAUGCUGGGCCAACGCAAGAAGAGAAGAUUGAAGGACAUGGUUAUUUACAGCGUCGUCGAACAGGCCGUUAGGAGCAACUGUGCUUAUGACAAUGCGACAUCCCACUCCAUCCGUGAUGCGGCGGGAUCCUGGCUCAAGAACUGCACCACGAGGAUGAUGACUGCUAAAAAGUCUACACCAUCAUAGACAAGAGAGAAUUGAAAAAGCCUUGAAAGCCACAGGAGAGAGUGACCAAUCUUCUAUGCAAGGAAAGUUGGGGAAGAUACCAAUGACUCGAGCUCCUGUGACUAAGCACUCAGAGUGGCAAAUGGUUUUUUUUUUUUUUUUAUCGUCUUCUGGCAAAGUUGUCUCUGGAUUUUCGUGCAUUUCCUUUUAUAGGGGCCCCACAAUGCCUUUAGAAAUAAAAACGUGGAGCAUCUUAGUUAUGAAGGAGACAGUUUUCAAAUAAAGAUUGCGUAUUUUAUGAGUGGAGUUGUUAAACAUAAAAUUCUGCCCUUUCUGAGCACUCACAGCGUGAUGCUUCUUUUCCUUGUUCCUACUACGCUCGAAGCUGUGACCGCAGGAAACAAUGGGCUGCCAUGUUCUGCCAAUCGUUAUAAUAAACUUUUUUUUGGUUUGCUUAAUCAGGCUGUGCAACCUUUGUUGAAUCACGGAAAUCAGCGUCAUUCUUUGCCGCACCAGAUGGCACCAACACCAUAUCAAGGAGGCUGCAGAAAAUAUCCAGACUU